AGACCAGGUCAGCCCAAGGAGACUCACCUGCUUCCUUCUGACUUGUUCAGGCCCUCUAUCCCUCACUGCCUUGGUCCAGUUUUAGUGGAAAGAGCUUUGUCACCACAAGAACUCAUGAUGGAAUUAAUGUCCUGCAUUUGCUUCAGAUGACACUGUCUGUGCACCCCUGUUCCCCAUGUCUUAAAAGUCUGUGAACAUUGUUAGGUGUUCCCUGAUGGGGGAGUUCCACACAAGCCCGCCACUCCAUCAGCUGUGACCCUUGGUCUCCCUCCUUCCUGCCUGGGACACCAAGAGGGACACACCUGAGAAGAGAAGCCACCGUGUCAGAGAAGUCUGCAGCUGGCGGCUCUGUGGAAGAGGGAACAUUGCUUGCUUGGCUUUCCUGGUUGAGCAGGGCACCAGCCCCUGGAUAUCUACAGCGUGUUGCCAUGUAUGGGCUGGCAUUUUGGUUUGUGCUUCCUUAUGCCCCUGGAAGUGCCAUGUGCCACCUGAGGCCUCUGACUGGAGCUAGGACAAGUGCUAGUGCCCAGGCAGAAUGGCAGACUGCAAGGCCUCCUGCUGUCCCAAGAGGCUCUGCAGCCCGAGGGACGUCACACCCUGGAACUACUGAGCAUGAAAAGUACACCGGUGGAUUAUAAGAGAAGAAUUAAAAACAGAAGCAAGAAAUAAAAGACUAUAAAACAUUA